rnacentral:rRNA from 1 species
AGUCGAACGAGUUCUGCGACUUCGGUCAAAUGAACUUAGUGGCGGACGGGUGAGUAACGCGUGAGCACCUGCCUUUCAGAGGGGGAUAACGUUUGGAAACAGAUGCUAAUACCGCAUAAGACCGCAUGAUCAAAGGAGCAAUCCGCUGAAAGAUGGGCUCGCGUCCGAUUAGAUAGUUGGUGAGGUAACGGCUCACCAAGUCGACGAUCGGUAGCCGGACUGAGAGGUUGAACGGCCACAUUGGGACUGAGACACGGCCCAGACUCCUACGGGAGGCAGCAGUGGGGAAUAUUGCACAAUGGGCGAAAGCCUGAUGCAGCAACGCCGCGUGAGGGAAGACGGUUUUCGGAUUGUAAACCUCUGUUUUCGGUGACGAACAAUGACGGUAACCGAGUAGGAAGCCACGGCUAACUACGUGCCAGCAGCCGCGGUAAUACGUAGGUGGCAAGCGUUAUCCGGAAUUACUGGGUGUAAAGGGAGCGCAGGCGGGAUAGCAAGUCAGCUGUGAAAACUAUGGGCUCAACCCAUAAACUGCAGUUGAAACUGUUAUUCUUGAGUGGAGUAGAGGCAAGCGGAAUUCCGAGUGUAGCGGUGAAAUGCGUAGAUAUUCGGAGGAACACCAGUGGCGAAGGCGGCUUGCUGGGCUCUAACUGACGUGAGGCUCGAAAGUGUGGGGACAAACAGGAUUAGAUACCCUGUAGUCCACACUGUAAACGAUGAUUGCUAGGUGUGGGGGGUCCGACCCUCCGUGCCGGAGUUAACGCAAUAAGCAAUCCACCUGGGGAGUA